UCGCAGGAGGCACCGACCUCCUCUUCCAGACCCCACAGUUGUAUACAUAUAACAACAUACGCCUUUUUCUCGGUUUACUUCUCUCUUUUUCAUUUCCAAGAAUGAGAAUAAAACCGAAAAGUCAAAUAAAACCGAAGCUAGUCAUUUUGUUAUCACUCAUUAAAAAUGUGAAACGUGUCAUUUGACUCAUCAUAUUAUCCAGAAUUAAAUUUUUAUCUACUAUCCAUUUUAUCAGUGAUCCCUUCUCUAAUAAAAAUUAUACAAUUUGCAAUUUUGCAUUUUUUCUAUAAUUAGAGUAGUUCGGGUAAUUUUGAUUUUUUAAGAUAAAUAAUGAGUUUAUGAUGUUUUUGUGAUGUGAUAGGAUAAUGAUGAGAGGAUUACACUGUUGCAAGUUUGUUCUCUGUUAUAAAUUGAGUUUGAGGGAUUUAAUUGUUGAAGAUGAAAAAAACAGAUAAUGGCCAGUGCCUCCUGGAGAUGGCCUGAAGUACGAUUACGCAAGUACUUGAGGUACACAAAACGAAAAAAAAAGGUAAAAAGUCUCGGAAAGUUCUGAAACAGCAGUGGAAGCAAUCGGGGCUUGAAAAAGAGUUUGAAAAAAAUGGAGGGAACUUUAAAGAGCCCAGAAAACGCAUACUCGAGGCUGGGGAUUUGUGCAGAGGAUGGGGCGAACAGGUUCUUGGUUGGUUACCGUGUAUUCACCAUGCUGAAAACCUUGGCUCCGAUCCACUCUGGACCAGAUUUCCGUGAGAGAUGAGAUCCCGUGACGAUCUCUGGAAGUGGCUGUUUAAUGAUCAUCCGAGAUAAAGUGAAAAUUGUGGUGAUUACUCCAACCAUGUCAAGCAUUCGAUGAUUUAAUUAUGAAAUCGUUAGCGUUCGGUUAUCGAGGAGAAAAAA